rnacentral:lncRNA from 1 species
AAACCCUCGCACCAACCAACCGACGCCUCGCCGAUUGUAACAUCCGGCCACGAGCACCUGUCAGAACACAGCCAAACAGACGAGAUCCAAGGGUUUAAUAAAGAGUAUAGAUCCAAAGACCAAAGAUCUCUACCACAUAGGUCUCCACAAAGACAAAUCCAAGAACAACAUCAACCAAUUUUUGUUCAAAAAUUCACAAAGCAUAGUCAACAAAUAAAUUCACAUAGCAUAGUCAACAAACCAAAGAAAUAAAAACUAUUAAUCAAUACAUAAAAAAUAAAUUAAAAAAAAUUAAAAAAAAAAAAAAAAAACUACCAUUUUCAGCACUCAAAGAAUUAAACAAGAAACAGAAGAAGAAAAAAAGGGAGAAAUUGAAUACUUACUGUUAAAGAAAUCCGGAGGAACAAAGAUGGAUGUCUGGACCGUGCGACCUCCAUAUGAAUCCCAGAUUAAAAAACUAUUUGGCUUGUAUUUGAAAAGCAUAGAUCGAAAGUUUAUGGAAAAAGCAAGGAAUAUUAGACGAGGAGCAGAGAGACAAGAGGCAUACGAUUUGGAGAGGGAAAAAAUGGGGAUUGUCAAAUAAAUUCAUCACAAACCCUACGCCUCUUGUGGUAAUCCUUUCAAAAAGUAAGAUCCAUGUUACAACCAUGGACUUGGCAGGUUGGAGAGAGGAAGAGAGGAAGGAGAGUUGAAGGGAGGAAGAGAAGAAGAAGGGAGAGAUAGACUGAGGAAGUAGAGAGGAAGAGCAGCGGAUGGGAGAGAGAGAGAGUGUGUGAGUGUUUGAGAAUGAAAAGGUAAAGGAGUGACGGCUGCUAGGGUUUGUAAGAUUUAUAAAUUUUAUAAAACAUUAAAGAUUAGAAUACCUAUAAAUAUUAUGCUGGUACAAUUAUAGCAAUACAAAGCCUACUAUCAAGUUGGCUUGAAUAAGCUAUCCCCAACCUGGACGAAAGGGGUUCAAAUCUUCAUUCCAAUAGGUUUUGAAUAUUUAUAUUUGAUUUUCAUAUUUCGGUUCGGUUCGGUUCGGUCCGGUC